UACGGGGGGGGUAAGCGUUGUUCGGAAUUACUGGGCGUAAAGAGCUCGUAGGUGGUUUGUCGCGUUGUUCGUGAAAACUCACAGCUCAACUGUGGGCGUGCGGGCGAUACGGGCAGACUGGAGUACUGCAGGGGAGACUGGAAUUCCUGGUGUAGCGGUGGAAUGCGCAGAUAUCGGGAGGAACACCAGUGGCGAAGGCGGCUCACUGGCCCGGUACGUGACGCUGAGGUGCGAAGCGUGGGGAGCA
rnacentral:rRNA from 1 species